GGAAACGUGUCUCUUGUGGUCAGUGUGCAUGGAAGAGAAGUCAGAAGAUCAUGAUGUUUCACUGGUUUCCUCCAAUCUGUAAAUUCUGUACAUUAUGGUUACCUCUGCUGCGCAUCCACCUCAAGAAGGACGCUGCACUCCAUGUGACCAGUGACACAUCAGCUGUGACAUGCUGA
rnacentral:lncRNA from 1 species